AAUUUUCAGGGAUGGUGUUAAAUACACAGUGUUGAUGUUGUUUUAACACUAUCUGGUAAUAAAAUAACACUGCCAUUGCUAGGCCAGUGUUAUAUUCACGACAGUGUCGGUGUAAAACAAGGGUGUUAUCAGAUUUCACUCUGAGCGGUGUAAAUCAAGCCACGCCUCCACUAAACAUAUCCUGUCAGGGAUUUUACCGCCAUUUUCUUUCACAGGAGGACUGAAGAGAUCAGAUGCUAGUUUGGUGAAAGUUCACACUGAGUGCUUCAAAUCAUUCAGAAGAGAUGCUGUUUUUAGGGCAGUUUAUUAAAGAAGACCUGACAUGGAUGACUUCCAAUGAGAAACGACUGCUAAUACUUAUAUAAAUUCAUUACAGAAGGACCCUACCAGACUAUAUUUGAAUACGGCAUACCCAUGAAUUCUGGAACUGUUAUUCCUUAACCCAGUUUGGAGGAUAAGAGCUUACCAACUAGUUAUAAAUAUGCUGAGGUGAUGUAUUGCAAAAUAGCCAACAUACAACAAUUAAAAGAUAAUUGCAGACUACAUCCUGAUGAAGAUAUGGAUGACCCUCUGUCUGGUCAACAGGAGUUUAAAUAUGGACGGGACAGUUAUGUGGCAGCUCUUCCCUGGCUCAUUCACCUCUUGCCUUUCAUUUGUGAAAGGAAGAAAGAAGAAAGAGGGUCAAUGUGCAACUGAAGCUACUGAUUGUACGGUGUGAUGAGCAUCAAUCCAUGCUUUGAGGUGGAUGAAUCAGCACAGCCCUGCCUGCACUGGGUUGGGAACAGAAGUUGCAUCCAGAAUUUUUGCAUCAUUCUGGACCAAAAAGCCAUUCCCUCCAUGAUGAAGACCACUGAUGCAGCCUUCCACUACAUCAUGAGUAAAACAACUACAGAACUAAAUACCAG